AAAGGAGUCAUGCCAAGAUUUCUACUACUAAGGCUGUUUGUGGUUAAUGGGCUUGCUUUUCAUCAUAUUUGGAAGAGUAGAAUAUGUGCAUUGGUGUAAUGGCGGCCUACAACUGCCCCAUGGCUGCAUGCUUUUUGCCUUUAAGCAAAAGAUUCUGGUAAAUCCAGGUAAAAAUACUAAGCAUGAGGACUUUCAUCUCAGCAAAAAGCUGAAGCUUUUUCUCAGCUGCUGCCUCCAGUGGCUGCUGAAUCUGGCAGAUGAGCAUCUUCAUAAAUCAGACAAUCUAGACAUGAAUUGCAAUCUGGACUCCUCCUUUGGGACCCCUUUGGAAG